CGCGGGGUGGAGCAGCUCGGUAGCUCGCUGGGCUCAUAACCCAGAGGUCCAAGGUUCAAAUCCUUGCCCCGCUACCA
rnacentral:tRNA from 9 species